rnacentral:rRNA from 1 species
AUUGGAAAUAAACGGAUAUUUUGACUCUCGCAUCAAUAAAAAACAUAACAAAAUGCAAUACUUCGUGUGAAUUGUGGAUUCAUAUGAAUCAUCAAGUCUUUAAAUGCAAGUUGCUCGAUCGAAGCCAUGUAUGCCUNAUA